UCACUAUGAUGAAGAAAUGCGGCAGACUUUUUGAAACUUCAUAAGAUUUACGAAUCAUGAAAAACAACAAGAGGAUAAAAACAAAAAUAAAGAAAGAUAUUAUUUUAUUCAUACAUGUGAACUAUAUGGAAAGAAAGAACACAUGAAACCAAAUUAUCCUCGGAACCAGAACCAAAGAAGAAACCAAAAUAAAAAAAAAUAAAAAAAA
rnacentral:lncRNA from 1 species